UACGUAGGGGGCAAGCGUUGUCCGGAUUCACUGGGCGUAAAGCGCGCGCAGGCGGUGAUGUAAGUCUGAGGUGAAAACCCGAAGCUCAACUUCGGGACUGCCUUGGAUACUGCGUCACUUGAGGAUAGGAGAGGCAAGGGGAAUUCCACGUGUAGCGGUGAAAUGCGUAGAGAUGUGGAGGAACACCUGUGGCGAAGGCGCCUUGCUGGCCUAUUUCUGACGCUGAGGCGCGAAAGCGUGGGGAG
rnacentral:rRNA from 1 species